rnacentral:rRNA from 1 species
CUGCCUUAUAGGUAGGGGAUAACAUUUGGAAACAGAUGCUAAUACCGUAUAAAACAGCUUUUUGCAUAAAAGGUUGUUAAAGGCGCUUCGGCGUCGCUAAAAGAUGGAUUCGCGCUGCAUUAGUUAGUUGGUGAGGUAAAGGCUCACCAAGACGAUGAUGCAUAGCCGAGUUGAGAGACUGAUCGGCCACAUUGGGACUGAGACACGGCCCAAACUCCUACGGGAGGCUGCAGUAGGGAAUCUUCCACAAUGGGCGCAAGCCUGAUGGAGCAACGCCGCGUGUGUGAUGAAGGCUUUCGGGUCGUAAAGCACUGUUGUAUGGGAAGAAUGGCUUAGGUAGGCAAUGACCUAAGAUUGACGGUACCAUACCAGAAAGGGACGGCUAAAUACGUGCCAGCAGCCGCGGUAAUACGUAUGUCCCGAGCGUUAUCCGGAUUUAUUGGGCGUAAAGCGAGCGCAGACGGUUGGUUAAGUCUGAAGUGAAAGCCCACAGCUCAACUGUGGAAUUGCUUUGGAAACUGGCUAACUUGAGUGCAGUAGAGGUAAGUGGAACUCCAUGUGUAGCGGUGGAAUGCGUAGAUAUAUGGAAGAACACCAGUGGCGAAGGCGGCUUACUGGACUGUAACUGACGUUGAGGCUCGAAAGUGUGGGUA